rnacentral:rRNA from 1 species
AUUGAACGCUGGCGGCAUGCCUUACACAUGCAAGUCGAACGGCAGCACGGGGGCAACCCUGGUGGCGAGUGGCGAACGGGUGAGUACUGCAUCGGAACGUGCCCAGUAGUGGGGGAUAACUAGUCGAAAGAUUAGCUAAUACCGCAUACGCACUGAGGUGGAAAGCGGGGGAUCGCAAGACCUCGCGCUAUUGGAGCGGCCGAUGUCCGAUUAGGUAGUUGGUGGGGUAAAAGCCUACCAAGCCGACGAUCGGUAACUGGUCUGAGAGGACGACCAGUCACACUGGGACUGAGACACGGCCCAGACUCCUACGGGAGGCAGCAGUGGGGAAUUUUGGACAAUGGGGGCAACCCUGAUCCAGCAAUGCCGCGUGUGUGAUGAAGGCCUUCGGGUUGUAAAGCACUUUUGGCGGGAAAGAAACGGCGCUUGCUAAUACCAGGCGCUAAUGACGGUACCCGCAGAAUAAGCACCGGCUAACUACGUG